CAACAGGGAUUGCCUCAGUAACGGCGAGUGAAGCGGCAAAAGCUCAGAUUUGAAAUCUGGCGUCAUACUGACGUCCGAGUUGUAAUCUGUAGAGGAGUACUCGAGUGUGGAUUUGGCUUAAGUUCCUUGGAACAGGACGUCAUAGAGGGUGAGAACCCCGUUAACGGCCUAUGUCUUAUACUCAUGUGAGUCUCCUUCAACGAGUCGAGUUGUUUGGGAAUGCAGCUCUAAAUUGGUGGUAAAUUCCAUCUAAAGCUAAAUACUGGCAAGAGACCGAUAGCGCACAAGUAGAGUGAUCGAAAGAUGAAAAGAACUCUGAACAGAGAGUUAAAUAGUACGUGAAAUUGUUGAAAGGGAAGCACUUGCUACCAGACACGCUUGUGGUUGAUCAGCCUCCAUUCUUGGUGGUGCACUCGGCUGCAAGUGGGUCAGCAUCAGUUACAAUGGUGGGAUAAAGACCGAGGGAAUGUGGCUUCUUUCGGGAAGUGUUAUAGCCCUUGGUGUAAUACCAUCUAAUGUGACUGAGGCCCGCGC
rnacentral:rRNA from 1 species